rnacentral:rRNA from 1 species
GUAGUCCAUGCCGUAAACGUUGGGCACUAGGUGUGGGGAACAUUCCACGUUUUCCGCGCCGCAGCUAACGCAUUAAGUGCCCCGCCUGGGGAGUACGGCCGCAAGGCUAAAACUCAAAGGAAUUGACGGGGGCCCGCACAAGCGGCGGAGCAUGCGGAUUAAUUCGAUGCAACGCGAAGAACCUUACCAAGGCUUGACAUGUUCUCGAUCGCCGUAGAGAUACGGUUUCCCCUUUGGGGCGGGUUCACAGGUGGUGCAUGGUUGUCGUCAGCUCGUGUCGUGAGAUGUUGGGUUAAGUCCCGCAACGAGCGCAACCCUCGUUCCAUGUUGCCAGCACUUCGGGUGGGGACUCAUGGGAGACUGCCGGGGUCAACUCGGAGGAAGGUGGGGACGACGUCAAAUCAUCAUGCCCCUUAUGUCUUGGGCUUCACGCAUGCUACAAUGGCCGGUACAAUGGGUUGCGAUACUGUGAGGUGGAGCUAAUCCCAAAAAGCCGGUCUCAGUUCGGAUUGGGGUCUGCAACUCGACCCCAUGAAGUCGGAGUCGCUAGUAAUCGCAGAUCAGCAACGCUGCGGUGAAUACGUUCCCGGGCCUUGUACACACCGCCCGUCAAGUCACGAAAGUCGGUAACACCCGAAGCCGGUGGCCUAACCCUUGUGGAGGGAGCCGUCGAAGGUGGA